UGAAUACUCCCUCCGUUCGGAAUUACUUGUCACAAAAAUGGAUGUAUCUAUAACUAAAAUACAUCUAGAUACAUUUAUUUCUUGGACGAGUAAUUUCAAACGGAGGGAGUACUAU
rnacentral:pre_miRNA from 1 species